rnacentral:lncRNA from 1 species
AUUACGUAUAUCACGGAGGAUCCUGGAAGACUGCAAAAUAUAAACACGCAACCUGAGAGCCAAAUUAGGGAAGAUAUACAUUUUAUUCAACGUGGGAUUUCAGUUUUAUUUGAAACAAAUAGGCCCAAUAUACAUCAAGUAGAAGGAGACAGUCUCUAAAUUUAGAAAACACCAAGAGGGGCAGGCAAUGACUCACACCUAUAGUUGGGUCCUGGAUGCUACAGUGAGCAAUGUUGGAGACAGGAUCCCAGAGUGAGCCCAAAUAAACACAUGACGUGUACUGCGAGGUGAACACCCAACAUCACACAGCUGGUGAGUGGCUUUCUAGAUUCAAAGUUCUGCUAUGUAGUAUUGCAGAAAUGAAUAAAUCUGGCUUCCACUAUGAAUUUAUAGGAUAUCUCUGGCAUUGAAACUGAGAAUAUGAACUAACAGCAUAGGAAUUUUUGUCAAAAAGAUGCUGAAUAAAGAACUGUUCAGAAGGUAGAUGAGAAAAGAAGAUAGUACACUGUAUAGGGAAAAAUAGACACCUGCUGUAUGAAACCUUACAAAUAGUAAAAUAACUGUUUACGCGUAUUUCCC